GGGGUAAUAGUACCAACAGAUGAAAUGCUGUAUCAGGUUGAUUUGCUUCAUUCAAAGUCACAUAAUAGGCAGAGUUUACUAAUUUGUUGUGACCACUGGAUUUUUUUGUUUCAUUCUAUCUGGGACACGUAAUAUUUAAAAAUGACAAUGCUUCACUUGUGAAUGGAUAAUAAAUCAUUUUCCAAUUUAUAUUUUCAGAGAUGAUCACUCACCUGUCUCAUGAAGCAGGAACCAAUUGAUAGAAAAACUAACAGAUGCACAUUCAUGGUCUCUUAAUAUAUCAUAUCAUAGUUCUUUGGAUACAAAAUCAGAAGAAAAAUACAUUACGAUUGAGAAGUGACUGAUCUAAUUCUUUUGCCUUGCAGUCAUGGAGUUGCUGGGCACAUACCUGGUGCGGAUACUGCAGUGGAAUUUCUAUAUGAAAUUAAUGUGCUCUCCAAAUUUUCUUUAAUGUACUCCAGAAUGUAGCAGCAGAAUUUGUGCAAUAGAUGACAAAUGCUUUUAGCUUCUGCAGAAGACAAUCUCAAAGUAAUGAAACUUCCAUUGGAGGAACAAAGCAAAGCCAAAUAUUACCCAGUAGGUAUUACUGUCACUAACAGGAGUUAAAUUACUGACUAUGCAGUGUAUGUGACACUUUAUACAUUUUGUACCACAAACAUCUCAAUGGCACGGACAGAGAGGGAGAGUAAGUAAGAAUAGAGUAGGGAAGAGGGGAAAAAAGAAUAUAUGUUGAGUUUACUUUCUCAAUAUUUUCAUCUCUUACGUGGAUGUAUAGCAUGAAAGUAUGUAGUUUUCAAUACCUAAAGCAACAGUAGUUAUUUGUAUAACAUCAAAUUUUCUGCAACGGAUUUCACACAGCAGGUUCAAAUUAAUCAUAGCCACAUUUGGUAUUUUAACAAAGUCUAUUUGAUGAGCCAUGAUAUGAUAAAAAUUUCAUUGUAAAAUAUUGAAAUAAAGACACUGUGACACAUGAACAAAAACACAAAUAUAAAAAUAAAUUAAGUCUCACAUUUUUAUUUCCAUCUACCUUUACAAUUUUUUUUUAGUUUUCAAUUCUGAAAAAACUAUAUACAGACAUCUCCAAACAUCAUUAAUCUAUCUACCUACUGUUUAAAUUGCUUUAGACAGUCAGGUAAGAUUGAAAUGCUCAAUGCAUUAAUAGAAUUGCUUUGUAAAACUGGGUAAAAAGUAAAAA